rnacentral:rRNA from 1 species
ACCUAAAGACAGAGACUGUACAGGUGCCUAUUUCCAUCUAAUCUUGGAAGCUAAGGAGGGUUGGCCCUGUUUGGGACUGAAAUGAAAGUCCACCUGGGAAUGCUGGGCACUCUAUAUU